UACAGAGGGUGCAAGCGUUAAUCGGAAUUACUGGGCGUAAAGCGUGCGUAGACGGUUAUGUAAGUUAGGUGUGAAAGCCCCGGGCUCAACCUGGGAAUUGCAUUUAAGACUGCAUAGCUAGGGUGCGGAAGAGGGAAGCGGAAUUUCCGGUGUAGCGGUGAAAUGCGUAGAUAUCGGAGGGAACAUCAGUGGCGAAAGCGGCUUCCUGGUCCAGCACCGACGUUCAGGCACGAAAGCGUGGGGAGCAAACAGG
rnacentral:rRNA from 1 species